rnacentral:tRNA from 1 species
CGGCCUUUAGCUUAGCCAGGUUUAAGCGUUCCCCUGAUAAGGGAAAGAUCACCGGUUCAAAUCCGGUAGGGCCAACCA